rnacentral:sRNA from 1 species
GGCUAGGCGGGUGUCCCCUUCCUCCCUCACCACUCCGUGUGCGUCCCUCCCGAAGCUGCGCGCUCAGUUGAAGACAACGACCUUCCCCACUAGAGGAGGACCGGUCUUCGGUCAAGGGUAUACGAGUAGCUGCGCUCCCCUGCUAGAACCUCCAAACAAGCUCUCACAAUGACUUCUAAUCCCCUGGUGAUCUGGCCCUGG